UCCGAGCACGUGGACUUGUUUACUUCCCUGCGCGAGCUCCAGUUCCCUCAAUACAAUGCGCACUGCGCGCUCCCGCCAGGCCCCGCCCUCCCUGCGCUCACCCUGCGCGCGCAUAACAAGGAAUUGCGCAACGUAGGUCCGGUGCUGCUGUUUGGCCGGAAUGCAGUGCUUUGGGGGGUUUCCUGCUUAGUGUAUGUACGGAAGCUAUGUGCUGCCACGUAUGAAAAAAAAUCUAAUCAAUAUCUCGUUAUAAUGAGAAAAACAUCACGUUAUUUCGCCAAAUAUCGCGCUGCUAGGACCAAAGAUUUAAUCGACGCCGGACAGCAUUUUGCGCAACAGCAUACCCAUCCUGUAUACAUCUAAUAUGCUGCAGUGUGUAACCAUGACGUUUCCGGUGUGUUUCAGGUUGAUUUGCUAGAAAUAAAGCAAAGAGGUCUGACUUCGCCAUUUCGUAAUACUAAUGACAAUAUAAAUACCAUAAACACUCAGUGACAUUAAAAUCUCAUUGUGUUCGAAGCCAAACAUGAAAUAAAACCUUUACAAAUUCUUGUCCAAAUCCUAUGACUUGGUAACCACAUUAUACUGUAUAAACAAGAUCAGUUUAGCUGCUUUUAUAACAUGUUUAUCUCGUAUGCGAUAUUUCCCGUAAUAACGCGAUAUUUUGCGAAAUAACGUGGGUGGGUUUUUUUUCUCUCGAAAUAACUUGAUGAUAUUUUUCCACAUAAUACGCGAUGUUUUCAUGCAAUGACGUGAUAUUGAUGGGAUUUUCUUUUAUUUCAUGCGUAGCAGCACAGUGCUUCCGUGUGUAUAAAUAGAGAGACGAGCGAAGUGCGAUUUCUGGGAGCAGCUGUGCUCCAAACGCACGAGCUCGAUGACAGUUGUCUUGCACGUGAGCUGCUGUUUAUUAUUCGCACGUGCGCUGCGGAGCUGCACGUGGUGUGCGUGCAGGUUCGCGCGCCUGAUUACUUAUGGGCAAUGCAUCAAUACAUAUAUAAAUAUAUGCAAACAAAUAAACAUUUCUUUCGUUGUUCAGCUUGUCAGUAGAGGACCUAUUUGUUAACCAAAAGCAAAUGUGUUCGUUUUAAGCAUCUAUUAACUGAGGUCUCAUAUACAGUCCAGUGCAAGGUUUCACGGAUUAGCACAAAAUUACAAAUGUGAUUUAUAGUAACAAGACCCUCUCAGGUCUAACCAACGUGCUCUUUGUGCCAGUGAAACCAUCUGGAGGAUAUUCAACGAGGCGUCUUAGGGGGAAAAAGAAGACGAAAGAAAGAAAGAAAGUUUGGCUGCAAAUGUCAUGCGUGGGAUUAUGACGCUUGUCCUAAAUUAUCACCUGCUCUGAUGGACUUAGACCUCUCUGCAAACUGAUGCCUCCAUGAUCCAAGCCCAUCACCUGCUUGCAUCCAUCUCUGCUGCUUUAUUUAAGAGAUUUAAUGUCCUCCAACUCAGCAACAUCAUCGGCUAUUAGAUUAGAACACUGUGAACUGAAGCACCCAUUUCCGCUAGCCUCUGGGGAUUAUGGCUUCCUGCAGUAAUCUUUCAUAAGUGCUCAGAGAGGCCCAGAGCCAAUGCAUCACGCAGGUUAAAACACAGUAGUAAAAAAGAAUGGCUGGUGUCUUCUGCGAGUGGAAGGAAAUGAUUUGUGCACACAUCAAAACAUCAUCUGACAUUUAUCUAAUCUGUAGUACACAGCAAAAUCCCAAAUUCUGAAUUAACAGCUGUAGUGUUAGUUUAAUUUUUACAGUAAAUAUGGACUUUUAUAAACACUGUAGGUGUUAAUUCAGCAGUGUACAUGGGUUGUUAUUUCACUGUGUGGCUGUUAUUCAAGGCUCUCACAGUGCAACAUCAAACAGGUAAUUAUAUGUACCUGUAGCAUACUAUGCAAUUGAUAUGUAUAAACAGGGCCAUAACCAGGAUCAAAUUUUUUGUGAGGGCCACAUGUGCUCAACCUGCUUUUCAGCUCACCAUGGUUGUAAAGAGUAGUUAUUUUAGAGUUACCAUAGCCUUCAUGUCAGCUCCAAACAAUCUGGCCAUACUCCUCUGAUCUCUCUCUUUCUGUUUCUUGCCACUCACCAGAAGUUUUUUUGGUUUUUUUGCAACAUUCUGUGCAAAGUCUAUAGAUGGUUGUGCAUCUCCCACCAACCAUGCAACAGUUAGAGUCACUGUGAUCACAAUUGUCCUCAUUCUGUUUGACCAUGUUUGAUGUGAACUGAAUCUCUUGCCCUGUAUCUGCAGGAUUUUAUACAUUGUGCUGCUGCCACAUGAUUUGCUAGUAAUUGUAUGAAUAAUCAGGUGUACAGGUGUACCGGUGUUCUUAAUAACAUGGCCAGUGAGUGUAUAUAAUAUGUUCUCCCUUAAACUCAAAAAUUCUUAUCAUAUCUACAUCAGAUGUGUGUUACGAAGCUCUCAACAAGACAGUGAAAAAUGGAAGUCUAGCGUCUCUCGAGAGCUGAACAUAAAGUGUCCUCUUUGGCUGCUCUGAGGUUAGAACCAAUCAUCACUGCUUAUCAGGUACUCUUGGAAAGAGUUUCCAAAUCGUAGGCUACAUUCAGCGACUACACAAUCAGGAUGUUACUGUUACAAUUUUGAAUUUGACAACUCGAGAUAUUAUGCGUGAGGUAAAAAAAAAAAAAAAAAAGAAGAACGUUCAGACCUCGGUUUCCUCAGCUCCUCAUGGCCAUGUGUAUAUACACAUAAUUUAUAAAAUGAGUGGCUUAUUUAGUGUAGCUUGUAAAGAGAAGUGCUGUGUAACUUGGGUAACAUUUUUCUCAUUCUUUCAGCCUGUAAUUGUUGUUUUGUGUGUAAAUUUUUUCUAUCGGUGCUGGUGGGGGGGACUUCUCACAGUGUUCCUGUGCUAUUGAUGCAUGAUUUUCCAUUUUCCAUAAGCUCAUUAUCAGUCACUUGUGGUGCCGACUUGGAAUCAUUUUCCUAUCUAAUGAUACCUGCUAUUCAAGUAAAUGUCAACAGCUGGACAAAAACUGUUAAAAGUGGCGAUGAAAAACAAACUUUUGAUGUCAGUGGGAAUGAAGCCUGUUUUCUAAAGCUGUUCUGAAAGUCAUUAUGUUCUUUUCCUGAGUCUUUUCACUGUUUUCACUGGUCUCGCUCCAGCCUCACAUUUCAAUAUUGUUUCCCACCAUUGAACUGAGUUUGAAUUGUUUGCACAUUUGAAUGCUUAAUAUAUUUCAGCCUUUCUUGCAUACAGGCUCAAUCUAGACCUCUAGUAUGCUUUAUACACUCACAAAGCCUUGAACUUACAUCAUGUGUUUAUGCUGAGCAUUGCAGCUCCCUCUGAGAUUUUGAGGCAACGGUCUUAUUCGGAUGUGUACCGAUGUGUGUUUGCACACAUGUUUGCAUAAUGCAUGUGUGUACGCUACCAUGGCUACUAAUGGAAUCCUCAGAGAUGGUGCAAUGUUCUGUCUAGAGGGAUAAAGACUCCUCCUUCCUGUGUGUGUGUGGGUGUUUGUGCACAUACAUGUAUACAUCCACAUAAUGUUGUAUCAUCUCCUUGAAGGAGUAUUCCAGCAUUUUUCAGCCUAAUCUCUAUCAUUUACAUCUGUAGUGUAUGUGUGAUCACCACGGACCAGUGACGGCUGGUUGUGAUAUUAGAUGGGAUGGCAAAACUUGAACAUCUAUCAGUAGCUCGACAAUGAAACUAUUAUCACUAUACCACACAGUCUGACUGAUGUCUACCAAGUCUUUAAUGCUCUACUGGGUUUAUACUGUUUCCUCCACAUGCUAAAUAUGGUCAAUAUAAAACUCAUAAACUUACAGUCUUGUCAUUUGUUCUUUUGUCUAAUUUGUACUUUUACUAGGGUAAAUAAUCCAUCUUGUUCACAUUCAUUGCACCUGUGACUGUAUUGCAUAUGUGCUUUCUCAGUCACUGCUGAUAACUUGUCACAGAUGUGUCAUUGAAGCAGACUGAAAACUAUUCAACCAAAUGGAGAACAAAUAAAGCCCUGAUCUCGCUUAUUCAUACCAUUCUCUGUAUUUUCCAUUUUUCGAAUGCAAUUGCACUUCAAAAUUCAAAACUACACUCAUAACACAUGAAUAAUAAAGGUAUAACAAUAAAGGAAGCAGAUGUCCUAGCAAAGCUGUUCUCGUGUACAAUACAGGAGUAAACAGUAGUAAAUGAAUCAAAGUCAAUAUUUGGUGUGAUGAAAAAAAAAUACAAAUAGUAGUCUCCUGUACAAUUUGUGCAGUUUUAUAAGCAAAUGAGCUG